CGCGCCGCGCCCCCGCAGCUUUGUGGGAAAUGUAGUCCGGCUCCCCGGGGUGGAGAUGCUGGGAGGGGCGGCAUUGGUCCGCUGGUUGCUGUGGCUCCUGCUGGGAGAGGCUCUGCCUCCUCUGAUCCUGCCCACCCCCUGGGAAGGACACCACAGGAAGGAAGGAGAAGGCAAUGGCUGCUGGGCCUCUACUAUUGGGAGUUCAGGGCAUCAGCUUUCCAAACCAAAUGUGAUAUCUCAGCUGGAUUGAGAACUGAGCCUGAUGACAAAAGAACAUCCAGGGUGCAUUUCCCCAGUACGCGGGCCUCUCACUGUUGUGGCCUCUCCCGUUGCAGAGCACAGGCUCCAGACGCGCAGGCUCAGCGGCCAUGGCUCACGGGCCCAGCCGCUCCGCGGCAUGUGGGAUCUUCCCGGACCGGGGCAUGAACCCACGUCCCCUGCAUCAGCAGGCGGACUCUCACCCACUGCGCCACCAGGGAAGCCCUUGAUUCUGUUUUUUAGUGUGCAUUCUUCUAGUGUUUUCUUUUUAUGCUUGGUACAAUGCUAAUAUUUUUGUUUUUGAAUCAGGAUUGGAUGUUGGAUAUUAUCAAAUACUUUGAAGCAUCCAUCAGGUUGAUCAUAUGCCCCUUUUCCCAUGACCUAUUAAUAUAUUACUAGAUUCCUAAUAGUGAGCAUUCUGGAAUUCCUGGAUAAAUCCUUUGUUCAAACAUUUAAACAUUUAAGUAACAUUUCAGGAAUGCUUUAGGAGUAUUGCAAUUUCUGAAUCUUUCAUAUUUAAGAACAUGUAUUGUUUUUUUCCUAUGCAUGUAUAGAGUACUGGCUAUGUGGAAUUCUUGAGUCACAUCAGUUUUUCCUCAAUCCUUUGUAGACAUGACUCCACUGUCCUUCGCCAUCCCAUGUUCUUGGAGAGAUCACUUAGGCCAGUUUUAAAAAAAUUUGUAGGGCAGUCUAUUUUUUUUCUUUUUCUUAAGCAACAAAUCUUCAGAGGUAACUUUUUAAGUUAGGUCUCUAAAUUCCAUGAAGAUAUACUGAACCCUUACUAUUAAGUUUUCUGCAGUAUAUGUUUCAACUUAAAAUGAUCAGUAUUUUCCAAACUAGAAAAUAUUUUGUUGUUCUUCUCAUUUGUUUUUUGAAAUGUCAUAUAUACAGAAGAAUGUGUAAAAUAUGGGUACUACUUAGCAAAAACCUGCCUAGUCUUCUAAGCCCUUUAUAAAUAUCAACUAAUUAUUGUUCACAUAUCAACACUAGAUAGGUACCAUUUAACAGAUGAGGAAACUGGAGCACAGGACAGGUUAAGUAAUCUGCCCAGGGUCACACAGCUAACAGUGAUGGAGCCAGGCGGUCCGGCUCCAAAGUUGUUGUCUUAAUUGUACUGCUUUUUUUAUAGUUCAUGAUGAUAAAAAUGAAUGAAUAAUAACAAAAGAAAACACCCAGGCACCAGAACCCAGAUUCAGAUUCAGAAACGGAACACUGCUAGUACCCUAGUAGCUUUAUAUGCACCUCCUCAUUCCCAUCCUCUUCCUCUACCCAAGACAUAACCACUGUUCUCACUUCUGUGAUAACUCCCUUCCCUUGCUUUUCUUUAUAGUAUUGCUAUCCACAGAUGAACAAUAUAUUUAGUUAUAGUCUGUUUUUAAACUUUAUCUAAAUGGACUCUUACUGUAUUUAUUUUUCUGUGACUUUGCUUAAAUUAUUCAUUUAUAUUGAUAUGUGUGGCUCUAGUUUAUUAAUGUUUACUGUCUUAAGCAGUUCAGGCUGCUAUAACAUAAUACCAAAGACCAGGUGACUGAAUUUAUCAGACAUUUAUUUCUCAUAGUUCCAGACGCUGGAAGUCUGAGAUCAGGGUGCUAGCAUGGAUGGGUUUUUGGUGAGGGCCCUCCUCCUGGUUCACAGGAUAGAGCAAGUUCCCUCAUGUGUGCCACUUCUUAUCAGGGCACUAAUCUUAUCAGGGCUUUACCCUCAUGACCCAAAGACUCCCACUUCUUAAUAUUGUCUCACUGGGGAUUAGGCUUCAACAUAUGAAUUUUGGGGAGAAGCAGACAUGAAAUCCGUAACAUUCACUGUUUUCAUUUCUCUUGUUAUAAGUAUUUGACAAUUUAGUUAUCCUUUCUCUUGUUGGUAGACAUUUGGGUUGUUUCCAGUUUUUUGCUAUUGUACACAAUGCUACUUUAAAAAUUAUGAAUCAUGGUGAACCUUUACAAUAUAGAUUUACCUAAGUGUAUGGACCUACUAGUGGAUUUGCUAAAUCUUAUAGUCUGUGUGCCUGUUCUGCAUUCUAGGUAGUGCUAAACUGUUUUUCAAAUACUUGAACAAAAUUACACUCCUACCAGCAGUAUGUGAAGUUCCCCAUACUGCACAUCUUUCUAAAUUCUGAGGCUGUCAGUUUGAAUUUUUGAAUUUUGUUUCUCAGGUGGAUGUGGUAAUAGUAUCUCACUGAGGCUUUACUCAACCUUCUCCUGGUUACUGUUGGAUUGGCAUCUUUGCUUAUGUUUACUCCCUAUUCAGGUUUCCUUUUCUUUUUCUUUUUUUAAAAUAAAUUUAUUUAUUUAUUUUUAU